rnacentral:misc_RNA from 1 species
UUUGGCAGCACCUUCCAGGCUUUG